UACGUAGGGUGCGAGCGUCAAUCGGAAUUACUGGGCGUAAAGCGUGCGCAGGCGGUUUGCUAAGACCGAUGUGAAAUCCCCGGGCUUAACCUGGGAACUGCAUUGGUGACUGGCAGGCUAGAGUAUGGCAGAGGGGGGUAGAAUUCCACGUGUAGCAGUGAAAUGCGUAGAGAUGUGGAGGAAUACCGAUGGCGAAGGCAGCCCCCUGGGCCAAUACUGACGCUCAUGCACGAAAGCGUGGGGAGCAAACAGG
rnacentral:rRNA from 1 species